AUCUGUUUUUGUAAGAAUGGAGAAAUCGGUUCCAAUUCGGUCUGAGAAAAACAAAUGUGUUAAAAAGAAGAAACCGAGUUUGAGGAGCCUGAAACGGAAACUUAAAGAUGCAAUCGAAAAAGAAGAAGACGAAGAUUCCCUUUCAUUUUCGGAGUUGAUGGAAAAAUACAGCGGGAUGCCACGUCACCUGAUGUAUUUCAAACCUGGUGCCCCAAAUACGCCUUAUACUACACAUUCUCAAGUUUUAUCUAAUCAAAAAACUUUGUUCGAAAUCGAAAGAUUUUACUAGAAAACAGAAAUUACGGCAUUUCAAUUACGAUCCCAAACCUGGUUCAAAUGAUGGUUCUGACUCUGAUGAUGAUUCUGAUGAUGAAAUUGAAGUCCUCUCAAAGGGAAAUUGCUGAAUAUAUUAAGAAUAGUAGAUGUAUGUAGUUGAUGUUUGUUGCAACUGGUGUUGUGAGAUAGACUAUUAUUAGUAUUACUAUGUUUUAGGAGUUGAACCUUACUUUUUUUGUACAUGUUAUUUUGUGGAACUAGCUUGGAUUUGCUA